ensembl:lncRNA
GAAUUGUUAUUUGCUUCUUUCUUGCUCUGGAGGACUAACAACUAGAGAAUAUAUAUUCUUUAUCGCAUAUGUUUGUUAAUCUGAAGUCAAAACUAACAUGAAGGAAAUUCAUAAUCUCAUAAUUCUAGAAAUUAAAUGAAAAAGUAAACUGAAGUGAAAAUGCAGUGGAAAUGUUUCAAUUGUGCUAUGGUGAGACCCAUUGCUCUUGCUGAUUGCACAUAAAAUCUUUGGACAAAGUAUAAAAGACAACUCUGAAGAUCUCUGAAAAGUAAACAAAAGUGGGCCAGUUAUGGAAGGAGCAUUUUGGAGAUGGACACUGCAUGAGGGUGAGUUUCCCGUUUCUUUUCUCAGAAACCGUGUUGUUUUGACAAAGAGCAAACAGGAGGAGGGGCCUCUGAGAGUCGGAAGGAAAUUGUGAUUCCUGCUGCAGUGAGGAUGAGCCUUGAGGACAUUGUGCUGAGUGACAUAAGAACAAAUACUGAAUGAUUCCACUUACAUGAGGACCUAGAAUAAGCUCCUCUCCUGUCCAUGAGUCUGCUUGUUCAGUCCUGAAGUGCAGUCGGCCCGCAGCACUGUGUUAGUUCCAGACGCGCAGCACAAGGACUUGAUAUUCCCAUACGUUUCAAAAGGAUCACCACAGAAAUCUCGUUACCAUCUGUCAACAUUCCAAGAUGUCACUAAACUGUAUGAAUUUGAAGCAUGCCAAUGGAUUCUAUGGAUGUGAGAAUUGGACUGUGAAGAAAGCUGAACGCUGAAGAAUUGAUGUUUUUGAACUGUGGUGUUGGAGAAGACUCUUGAGAGUCCCUUGGACAGCAAGGAGAUCCAACCAGUCCAUCCUAAAGGAGACCAAUCCUGGGUGUUCAUUGGAAGGACUGAUGCCGAGGCUGAAACUCCAAUACUUUGGC